GACGAACGCUGGCGGCGUGCUUAACACAUGCAAGUCGAACGGAAAGGCCCUGCUUUUGUGGGGUGCUCGAGUGGCGAACGGGUGAGUAACAUGUGAGUAACCUGCCCUUGACUUUGGGAUAACUUCAGGAAACUGGGGCUAAUACCGGAUAGGAGCUCCUGCUGCAUGGUGGGGGUUGGACAGUUUAGGCGGUUGGGGAUGGACUCGCGGCUGAUCAGCUUGUUGGUGGGGUUGUGGCUUACCAAGGCUUUGACGGGUAGCCGGCCUGAGAGGGUGACCGGCCACAUUGGGACUGAGAUACGGCCCAGACUCCUACGGGAGGCAGCAGUGGGGAAUAUUGCACAAUGGGCGGAAGCCUGAUGCAGCAACGCCGCGUGCGGGAUGACGGCCUUCGGGUUGUAAACCGCUUUCGCCUGGGACGAAGCGUGAGUGACGGUAAUGGGUAAAGAAGCACCGGCUAACUACGUG
rnacentral:rRNA from 1 species